UACGUAGGCAGCAAGCGUUGUUCGGAAUUAUUGGGCUUAAAGCGCGUGUAGGCGGAGCGGUAAGUACCUUGUGAAAUCCCCGGACUCAAUCCGGGAACUGCUUGGUAUACUGCCGUUCUCGAGGCAGGUAGGGGUCACUGGACCUUAGGUGGAGCGGUGAAAUGCGUAGAUAUCUAAGGGAACGCCUGUGGCGAAAGCGGGUGACUGGGCCUGUCCUGACGCUGAGACGCGAAAGCGUAGGGGAGCAAACGGG
rnacentral:rRNA from 1 species